rnacentral:rRNA from 1 species
CAGUAGCCACGGUAAUCCGUAGGUGGCAAGCGUUGUCCGGAAUUAUUGGGCGUAAAGGGCUCGCAGGCGGUUUCUUAAGUCUGAUGUGAAAGCCCCCGGCUCAACCGGGGAGGGUCAUUGGAAACUGGGAAACUUGAGUGCAGAAGAGGAGAGUGGAAUUCCACGUGUAGCGGUGAAAUGCGUAGAGAUGUGGAGGAACACCAGUGGCGAAGGCGACUCUCUGGUCUGUAACUGACGCUGAGGAGCGAAAGCGUGGGGAGCGAACAGGAUUAGAUACCCCUGUAGUCCCUGUCUCUUAUAC